UACCAGCCACAGGGAUGACUGACAUGGUUCUGCGAAUGGAGAAGCUGAGGGGCAGAAAAUCUGGCUUGGAGGGCAGUUCUAAGCCCAAGAUGCAUUUCCAAGUUUGUUCUUCCUGGCGCUAAUGCCCAUCCCUGCCGCCAGGCCCUGAGAAUCGUGCUGCACAGCCUGGACCUGCAUGCCAACUGCUACCAGCGGUACAUCGUGCCACUGCUCAGUAUCAGUGCUGACUUCUACGUCCGGGUCUUUGUCCGCGUCUUCACAGGCCAGGCCAAGGUGAAGUCCUCAGCCAGGUAAGCCCGCAGGAAGGGAACCUGAUGAGGUGAUGGAGGAGGGGGACCUUGGUGUCUGAAAAGGGACUGAGUCAGUCUAGGGAAUGGUUGGGUUGUAGUGAUCACAUCAGGAACUCAUGGCCUUUCCUGGGCUCCUACAGCAAGCAGGCCCUGGUGUUCCAGUGUGUGGGUUGUGGAGCCUUUUACCUGCAACGCCUUGGCAAAGCAUCUGGAGACCCUGGUGGCAGGUGAGCAAGGGAAUUUUGGGUUAUAAUGAGGGAUGUCCUUGGCCCCAUCCCUCCAACUGCCUCUCCUUGCAGGGUCAAGUUCUCUGCAGCCUGUGGUCCUCCAGUGUCCCCUGAGUGUGAGCACUGUGGACAGAGACACCAGGUGGGCCCAGGUCAGGGGCAGUGGGCCAGGGUCCUGGAGCUUACA
rnacentral:lncRNA from 1 species